CAUCCCGAAUUGCAUUAUGGGAUUUUGAUCUCCCAACCUCUCUUGGCGGCCAUUGUUUGCAGGUGUCAGCAUUUCAUUUGUGUGUGCGUCUGUCAGUGCAGGUCUGUCAAGGUCUCACUCGGCUUUCUUCACUUUCAUGUCAAGGUGAACAUCUACCCGUGCAAAAGUUCUUGGACAGCUACGACACAUGAACCCUCAGAAGCCAAUCCAUUAUGCCUCAGUGCAGGUACCAUAUGGAAUACGAGGAUUUUUCCACAUUAUUAUUUCUUUUUCCUUUUUUUUUUUUUUUUGUUUAUCUUUUCCGACAAAGCCGGCAACGAUAUCAAAUGUUUGAUGCCUUGAAAUAUGUGCUGGGACCCUGUUUCUAAUGUUG